UGGGGAAUAUUGCACAAUGGGGGAAACCCUGAUGCAGCGACGCCGCGUGAGCGAAGAAGUAUUUCGGUAUGUAAAGCUCUAUCAGCAGGGAAGAAAAAUGACGGUACCUGACUAAGAAGCACCGGCUAACUACGUGCC
rnacentral:rRNA from 1 species